AGGCAGUAUAAGAAGCCAUUUUCCAUGCGUUGUGAUUCUGGACAUGACGGUGUCUUUUUACUCAAAUGAGUUCCAGCCUUAUGUCUAUAUCCCUUGAGAAAUGGGAGAGCCUAAUGAAGACUGGCAGACAAGAAACCUUCUGGCUAGAUCUAAAGGCAGAACAGGAACUCUACAAGUCUCUUCGGCAGACCCUCUGUGAAUGUGAGACUGAUAGCCGGUAAUAUUGAGUACGGGGAUCCACUUCCACUGGAAGUUCUGGAAGCAGGCAUUAAGAUAUAAGCAGUACUUAGCUGUUCAAAGAAAAGCCACAAUUCUAGCAUUAGCCAAGAGCGUGCCGUCCACCAAAGACCAUCAUUUGAAUAAAAUCCAUUAUUUCAGUCUUGAAACAAAACAAAAUAAAUUGGUGGCCUCUUCACACUCUCAUGAAGAGGAUGUUAAUCCUUUUUAGACUACUUUUCAAAGCCUUCUGCCAUCAACUCCUCAACUUUAGUCUCUUGACAUUUGCCAGUGAUCAAAGGAGCAUUAGAUUGCAGAGAAAGACAAACCCUGCAAAGUACUGCAUGUGGAAAUCACUUAUAGUUAAUGGAAUAAAAGAGGAGCACCACAGGUACAAGGGUAGGAGCCAAAAAAUACCCUUAAAUCUUGGUAAACAGAACACAUGCUCAGAUUGUAAAGGGGAUUAUAUUUCUUCAAUUUU